AUGCUGGGCUGCGGCCGGCGAUCAUGGUGGUUCGCGGCCUCGGGCGGCACGCCUUUGUUCUUUGCCGGCAUGGUGCUCGUCAGGGUGUGGUGGUUGUGCCGCGUCCAGUGGCUCUGCUCUUGGUUGGCCUUUGUUGGAUCUGGCUUCUCGCGCCGGUGUUUGGCCGUUGUUGGUCUCCGCGAGGUGCGGUUGCGUGCGGCGGCUGCGGUCUCUUCGUCCACGGGCUGGUUUGUUGGUGGUGCUGGUGGACUUGCCGAAGUCGAUGCAGAAAUGAUGUGCGACCGAGGUGGUGUGGAGCUUGGGUGA
rnacentral:rRNA from 1 species